rnacentral:rRNA from 1 species
GUAGGUGGGGAAGCGUUGUCCGGAAUUAUUGGGCGUAAAGCGCGCGCAGGCGGUUCUUUAAGUCUGAUGUGAAAGCCCACGGGCUCAACCGUGGAGGGUCAUUGGAAACUGGAGAACUUGAGUACAGAAGAGGAAAGCGGAAUUCCACGUGUAGCGGUGAAAUGCGUAGAGAUGUGGAGGAACACCAGUGGCAAAGGCGGCUUUCCGGUCUGUAACUGACGCUGAGGCGCGAAAGCGUGGGGAGCAAACAGGAUUAGAUACCCUGGUAGUCCACGCCGUAAACGAUGAGUGCUAAGUGUUAGGGGGUUUCCGCCCCUUAGUGCUGCAGCUAACGCAUUAAGCACUCCGCCUGGGGAGUACGGCCGCAAAGGCUG